rnacentral:rRNA from 1 species
GACGAACGCUGGCGGCGUGCUUAACACAUGCAAGUCGAACGGAAAGGCCCUGCUUUUGUGGGGUGCUCGAGUGGCGAACGGGUGAGUAACACGUGAGUAACCUGCCCUUGACUUUGGGAUAACUUCAGGAAACUGGGGCUAAUACCGGAUAGGAGCUCCUGCUGCAGGGUGGGGGUUGGAAAGUUUCGGCGGUUGGGGAUGGACUCGCGGCUUAUCAGCUUGUUGGUGGGGUAGUGGCUUACCAAGGCUUUGACGGGUAGCCGGCCUGAGAGGGUGACCGGCCACAUUGGGACUGAGAUACGGCCCAGACUCCUACGGGAGGCAGCAGUGGGGAAUAUUGCACAAUGGGCGGAAGCCUGAUGCAGCAACGCCGCGUGCGGGAUGACGGCCUUCGGGUUGUAAACCGCUUUCGCCUGUGACGAAGCGUGAGUGACGGUAAUGUGUAAAGAAGCACCGGCUAACUACGUG